rnacentral:tRNA from 1 species
GGGGCUGUGGCUCAGUGGUAGAGUGCUUGCCUAGCAUGCAUGAGGCACUAGGUUUGAUCCCCAGCACCA